UGGGGAAUAUUGGACAAUGGGGGCAACCCUGAUCCAGCAAUGCCGCGUGAGUGAUGAAGGCCUUCGGGUUGUAAAGCUCUUUUGUCAGGGACGAUAAUGACGGUACCUGACGAAUAAGCUCCGGCUAACUUCGUGCCAGCAGCCGCGGUAAUACGAAGGGAGCUAGCGUUGUUCGGAAUUACUGGGCGUAAAGGGCGCGUAGGCGGCUUUAUAAGUCAGAUGUGAAAUCCCUGGGCUUAACCUAGGAAUGGCAUUUGAAACUGUAAGGCUAGAGAUCGAGAGAGGAUAGUGGAAUUGCGAGUGUAGAGGUGAAAUUCGUAGAUAUUCGCAAGAACACCGGUGGCGAAGGCGGCUAUCUGGCUCGAUACUGACGCUAAGGCGCGAAAGCGUGGGGAGCAAACAGG
rnacentral:rRNA from 1 species